rnacentral:lncRNA from 1 species
CGGCAAGAGAGAUGAAAACGAGGCACAGUGAGUAGGUUGGUUUAAGAGGAGCGAAUCAUGUGGGCUGGAAUGUAGUGGGAGAGGAGUGAGGAAAAGUAGUGGGGAGAGAACAAACAGAACCUAAAAUAAAGAGAACAGUGUAGAAAAGUGUAAAUUCUACUAGCAUAAACACUGGUUCCGCUAAUCUUAACCCAGACCCUUUUCUAACAACAGUUCCACUUAUGCAACGUUCCACAAGCUACCAAGUUCUGCAAAAUGAAGAUGAUCUGGAGUGAAAGAUGAACUUCAAGAGGAGGAAUGGCAGCUUUAGGUGAAGCGAGGCAGCACUCUGGCGGAUUGGUCGAUGGUGCGGCUCUACUCCUGGGAUGCCAGAGGAGAUGUCCUGGAUGAUUGUGGCACCAAGUGAGCUAACAGUUGCUACCAAUGCCAGUGAGAGUCUCCCUAUCACAGUCAUCAAGCAUCAGGAAGAAAGAGGGACACAAACUGAGGCAGAACACAGGCUGUUGUGCUGGGAAGCAGGGAAUUUGCUUAGUAAAGGAAACCCCAGAGGCUUCUGGGAAAGUCACAGACCCCACAGGAUGCAGCUCCAUUUCCCUCAACCCGGUUGGAUGUGCCUUCCUUCGAUUGAAGUCUAAUUACCUUGCUGAUUGCUAAAUGAUUGGACAGCAG